rnacentral:rRNA from 1 species
UCAUACCUAUUUGAAGGGAUAGGGUCGGUUCGGCCGGAUUUUACACAAGUGUUGCAUGGCUGUCGUCAGCUCGUGUCGUGAGAUGUUGGGUUAAGUCCCGCAACGAGCGCAACCCUCAUCCUUAGUUGCUAUCAGGUAAUGCUGAGUACUUUAAGGAAACUGCCAGUGAUAAGCUGGAGGAAGGUGGGGAUGAUGUCAAGUCAUCAUGGCCUUUAUGGAGUGGGCUACACACGUGCUACAAUGGUGUCUACAAUGGGCUGCAAGGUGCGCAAGCCUAAGCUAAUCCCUAAAAGACAUCUCAGUUCGGAUUGUACUCUGCAACUCGAGUACAUGAAGUUGGAAUCGCUAGUAAUCGUGGAUCAGCAUGCCACGGUGAAUACGUUCUCGGGUCUUGUACACACUGCCCGUCACGCCAUGGGAAUUGGUUCCUCCCAAACCU